rnacentral:rRNA from 1 species
GACGAACGCGGCGGCGUGCUUAACACAUGCAAGUCGAACGAAGAGCGAUGGAAGCUUGCUUCUAUCAAUCUUAGUGGCGAACGGGUGAGUAACGCGUAAUCAACCUGCCCUUCAGAGGGGGACAACAGUUGGAAACGACUGCUAAUACCGCAUACGAUCUAAACUCGGCAUCGAGGAUAGAUGAAAGGUGGCCUCUACAUGUAAGCUAUCACUAAAGGAGGGGAUUGCGUCUGAUUAGUUAGUUGGAGGGGUAACGGCCCACCAAGGCGAUGAUCAGUAGCCGGUCUGAGAGGAUGAACGGCCACAUUGGGACUGAGACAUGGCCCAGACUCCUACGGGAGGCAGCAGUGGGGAAUCUUCCGCAAUGGACGAAAGUCUGACGGAGCAACGCCGCGUGAGUGAUGACGGCCUUCGGGUUGUAAAGCUCUGUUAAUCGGGACGAAAGGCCUUCUUGCGAACAGUUAGAAGGAU